rnacentral:rRNA from 1 species
GACGAACGCUGGCGGCGUGCUUAACACAUGCAAGUCGAACGGAAAGGCCCGCCACUUUGGUGGUGGGUACUCGAGUGGCGAACGGGUGAGUAACACGUGGGUGAUCUGCCCCGCACUGUGGGAUAAGCCUGGGAAACUGGGUCUAAUACCACAUACGACCAUGGCGUAGGGGUCAUGGUGGAAAGCUUUUGCGGUGUGGGAUGAGCCCGCGGCCUAUCAGCUUGUUGGUGGGGUAAUGGCCUACCAAGGCGGCGACGGGUAGCCGGCCUGAGAGGGUGGACGGCCACAUUGGGACUGAGACACGGCCCAGACUCCUACGGGUGGCUG